rnacentral:misc_RNA from 1 species
AAAAAACUAAAUGGGCAGUCGCCAUCACUAUAAGAACUGUAAAUUACAACCAAAGAAAACCAGAUAGCAUACUUCUGCUGAGUUAUUUUUAAGAAAACUUGGAAGCCGCUCAAAUUUAAAUGUUGCAACACCAGUUGUUAGAGACUUUAAGUCUACAUAUUACAGAAAGAAAUUUAGGAAAUAACUUACAUUUGAGUAUUCUAAUUAUUUAGGGUAUUUUUGGCAUUUGACUCAGUUAUUAAGGCUGGGAUUAGUUUAUCACUCAAUAUAGAAGUCUUAUGAAGAGCUUUUAACAUUAGUUUUGAUAUUUUUGAAGACUGAGAAUUAAAUAAAAUUUGAAAGCAAUUGUCCAUCAUUUCAUUCCUUUGUUUGUUGUGGCUGGUUCUACAUCAUUAAAUCAACAGAAGACCAAGGGAGAGGUAGAAAGCAUUAACAUUUAACAAUCAUUUCACAGCAUCAACUGUUAACCAAGGAAGAGUUAAGGGGAGUACACUGACCAAGUGUAUCAUCAUCAUAAGGAACUUUUCCCUUAACAAGUGUCUCCACAAACAAUACAGCAAGCUCUGAUCCGCAAGUUACCUG